rnacentral:rRNA from 1 species
GGCCCCUCCCUGUCUGUGGGGCAUAAAAUCCCAGCCGAUAGCGAACAAGUAGAGUGAUCGAAAGAUGAAAAGCACUUUGAAAAGAGAGUUAAACAGCACGUGAAAUUGUUGAAAGGGAAGCGCUUGCGACCAGACUCGCCCGCGGGGUUCAGCCGGCAUCGUGCCGGUGUACUUCCCCGUGGGCGGGCCAGCGUCGGUUUGGGCGGCCGGUCAAGGCCCCUGGAAUGUAGUACCCUCCGGGGUACCUUGUACCAGGGUG